GGGCGAUGCUUUACACAUGCAAGUCGAACGGCAGCACGGAGAGCUUGCUCUCUGGUGGCGAGUGGCGAACGGGUGAGUAAUAUAUCGGAACGUGUCCAAUAAUGGGGGAUAACGAGUCGAAAGAUUCGCUAAUACCGCAUACGCCCUACGGGGGAAAGCAGGGGAUCGUAAGACCUUGCGUUAAUGGAGCGGCCGAUAUCUGAUUAGCUUGUUGGUGAGGUAAAGGCUCACCAAGGCGACGAUCAGUAGCUGGUUUGAGAGAACGACCAGCCACACUGGAACUGAGACACGGUCCAGACUCCUACGGGAGGCAGCAGUGGGGAAUUUUGGACAAUGGGGGCAACCCUGAUCCAGCCAUUCCGCGUGAGUGAAGAAGGCCUUCGGGUUGUAAAGCUCUUUCGCAAGGGAAGAAAACUUAUGAUCGAAUAAAUCAUGAGGUUGACGGUACCUUGAUAAGAAGCACCGGCUAACUACGUGCCAGCAGCCGCGGUAAUACGUAGGGUGCGAGCGUUAAUCGGAAUUACUGGGCGUAAAGCGUGCGCAGGCGGUUUUGUAAGUCGGAUGUGAAAUCCCCGGGCUCAACCUGGGAACUGCGUUCGAAACUGCAAGGCUAGAGUGUGUCAGAGGGGGGUAGAAUUCCACGUGUAGCAGUGAAAUGCGUAGAGAUGUGGAGGAAUACCAAUGGCGAAGGCAGCCCCCUGGGAUAACAC
rnacentral:rRNA from 1 species